rnacentral:rRNA from 1 species
UCGCUAGUAAUCGCGGAUCAGAAUGCCGCGGUGAAUACGUUCCCGGGUCUUGUACACACCGCCCGUCACACCAUGGGAGUCGGAAAUGCCCGAAGCCGGUGACUCAACCUGCAAAGGAGAGAGCCGUCGAAGGCAGGUCUGAUAACUGGGGUGAAGUCGUAACAAGGUAUC